UGGGGAAUUUUCCGCAAUGGGGGCAACCCUGAUCCAGCAAUGCCGCGUGUGUGAAGAAGGCCUGCGGGUUGUAAAGCACUUUCAGUAGAGAAGAAAAGCUUAGGGUUAAUACCCUUGAGUCUUGACGUAACCUACAGAAGAAGCACCGGCUAACUCCGUGCCAGCAGCCGCGGUAAGACGGAGGGUGCUAGCGUUGUUCGGAAUCACUGGGCGUAAAGGGCGCGUAGGCGGCCUGGACAGUCAGAUGUGAAAGCCCGGGGCUCAACCCCGGAACGGCAUUUGAUACUGCCAGGCUGGAGGUCGGAAGAGGAGGGUGGAAUAUCCAGUGUAGAGGUGAAAUUCGUAGAUAUUGGAUGGAACACCGGUGGCGAAAGCGGCUCUCUGGUCCGAACCUGACGCUGAGGCGCGAAAGCGUGGGGAGCAAACAGGAUUAGAUACCCCCGUAGUCC
rnacentral:rRNA from 1 species